AACGGUCUAUACCUGCGGUACCUGCGGAGGGAUCAUUACCGAGCUUACAACUCCCAAACCCCCUGUGAACCUAUACCAUUACUGUUGCUUCGGCGGGUCAUUGCCCCGGGGAAAGGACGAGGUGCCGCCUAGGCUCCCCGGCCCGCCCCCGGAAACAGGCGCCUGCCGGGGGAAUCAAACUCUUCUGUAUUUUUUACUUUUACUGUUAUACUGUCUGAGUACAAAACUAUAAAUGAAUCA
rnacentral:misc_RNA from 1 species